GCACUCUGCGGCCGAGCCCUUAGGCGGGAGCGGCUUCUUCCCCGCACCGCCUGCGCGGCCACCUGCGCCGCCAGCGUCAGCCCCACGGAGCCGCUUCCUCUUGCAUCCUCCCGCGGCUCCCAGGGAGCCGGGCUCCUCUUCACCGUCCUCCUCUUCCGCAGAAGAAAUGUCGCUGGGCGAGCCGUAACCGCGCUCCAUGCGGAGCAGGGGCGGCCUCUUGGAGGCCGGGGCCGGGUAGACCCUCUGCAGCCCCCUCAUCUCCGAGUCUUCGGGGUCACUCACCGAGCCGGUGGACAUCGCCUAUUCCCCGGCGCCCACGCGCGCGCGCCUUUCUCCUCCCCGGCCAGUCUCGCUUUCUCUGGCUUCUUCUCUCUGACAGAGGAUGGGGUGUGGGAGAGCCCAGGGGAGGACCAGAGACCAGGGCUUGCCUCCGCACUGAGGCUCCCCUGUGAGCUGGGCGCCUGGAGUGGGCGCGAUCUGCUGCUGACCCUGUAGCCCAGGGCUCUGCUGAACUUGACUCCGGAUCCAAAAGUACAGCCGCGAGCUGAGCCUUUUGACAGGACUAUUUAUCUGUACUCUUAGGGAAAAGCCACCCCCCUCCCCCUCGGCAAAGUAGAGGGGGCUUGAAAGGGGGACAAGAGGUGGGGCAGGGGCGUGGAAGGGGUGGGGAUCGUUUUUUCCCCCCUGAACCCUGCGGUUAGCGGGGCGGGGGCAAGGAAUGUUUGCGCGCAAAGCAAAGACUUAGGCCUCUACGCCCACGACUGACCCUCAGAGUAUCUGUGCGAGGAAUGCAGCAGAAUGUGAGGACAUACGCACAUGCCCUCAGUAAUUCUUAUGCUCCAGGAUGACUCACAGGAGAACUCUAACUCAGUUGUUUCAUGUGUUCCAAGUUAGGUUUUGCCGACACAGGCAUCACCCUUGAACUUGCUAUCUGCUGAGGUAUGGAGUUCCCUGCUUCACUCAAGGACACAAGAGAAUGCUAACACAUGUGGAACCACACCAUUGAAGAGAAUAUUAGGACGCUGAGUCCUCUUUCACUUUGUUUCCUGGCUGUUGUGAAGUAAAGAGCUUUCUUUUGUAACGUGCUCCACACCAUGACUUGCUGACCUUGCCAGAAGUCCAUGAACAGACCAUAAAGUAAAACCUUCAAAACUACAAGCCAAAAUAAUAAUUCUCUGGUUAUUCCUGGUUCUUUUCUCUUGUAUUUGUUACAGGGACAGAAAACGAAUCCAGUGAUAAACAUAACUGGUUGGCCAGACCUACUAUUUACUGUUCUGUUUUCUGCUCUGCUUGACGUUCUCAUCCCUCUGACUUCAUUGCCGCCUAUGGGUUGUUUAAAUAUUUUAAAUGACUCCAUCUUAUAUAAAGUGCUUCUGAGUGUUUCUCUUUGCAGUCUUUUAUAUUGCUCACCCAGACUGUAAUAAUAUAAACACAGGACUUAUAGUAACAACAACGUAGUAGUCAGCCACUUUGAAAGGACUGUGAACUUUGUUUAUAUCCAUUUCCCUCCCCCACAUUAAAGAAUCACUGUCUUCACAUGAGAAGUAAUAUAAUUCUUGCAGAAAUUCCAUGUGAUUAUCAACUCCUAUGAAGAAGCAUGACCUGCUGGCUGUGCCCAUAGUAUUAUUCUUUCUGUCCUUGGACUCCAUUAGAUAGUAAUAAAAUCUUUUGUCUUUAUUUGUCUUCAUUGGGUUAUCUCCCCACCACUAUAACAGGAUGGUUUAACUGUAUGCAGACAAACCACCUAAUAGUUCAGUUCUCCAGAUGUUGAUUGCUUCUAAUGACUUAUCUACUAUUAAUUAAAUUAUUGUUUUCCUCAGAUAAAGUCAGAUUUCUGUGGCUAAUUUCAAACUUUUUCUUUCCCUUAAUUUUCAGAGGCUUAAAUAUGAUAAGCUUUCAGUGUAGAUAUCUUUGAGUUUAUUCCAUUGCUUAUUGUUCUGUUUCUUAGAUCUAUAGAUUUUGCAAAAUUUGACAAUAGGUUAGCCAUUGUCUUUUCAAAUAUUCUUCUAGACACAUUCUCUGAUUCAUUUUUUUUUCUGAGACUCUAAUAGAAUGGACAUCAGAUUUUGAAGACCAUUACAACUAUAUCUAUUUUCUUCUUGUUGCUCAAUUUGCUUGAACUAGGUUAUCUUGCUUUUGGGUUUUUGCCAGUCUAUUAUUUUCACAUUCAAAUUAGUUUUCCCUCUUCUUGGUGUUAUGUCUGGUAUUUUAUGGCCUCUAUCAAGUAAAAAAGUAUAUCAGAGAGAAGCAAAAUUACAAAAGGUCAGUUUCCUUGGAGAAAAAAAGUCAUUUCUUAAAGUGAGAUAUUAGUACAUAGGAUCUGUAAACGUCAGUAGUCUAAGUGUUAGGUGAUCAAGCACACCUUUCUCCUGUGAGUUUACAAACACCUCCAUAGCUACGUUUAAGUAUAGCGGCUGCUGUUGUGGGAUGUAGCUUCAAGUAAAAGGCUGAAGAUUCUAUUGAAGGGUGAGCUCAGGAGACUGUGAAGUGUCUGUCCUGUUUCCACUCCAAUGACUGACUGAGUGCUCUCUUCAUGCUGCCUACUCCUGGAUGGGAGUGAUCCCAGAUCUAUUUCAAACACUCCCUAGUGCAUGCUUUGUCUCAGGACUUAGAGUAUUUGUAUAAACAGAAACAGAUACCAACAAAGCCAGUGUUUAACUUCUCCAACUAAAAUGACCAGACUUUUAUAAGCAUUUGAGGGAUUUUGUGUGGUGUUAAUUCUACCAUGCAACUUAUCAAUAUUACAUGUAGAAUAUUUUUAAGUGACACAUGUUAAACAUACGUUUAUGUAUCUGUGGAAUAAUUUCUCUUUAGUUCUGAACUCUGUUUUCUGGUUUGAAAAUUAUAAGUAUAACUUUAGUGCUAUGUUGUGGCAGUGAAAUUAAUGUAGUCAGAGAGACAGACAGUGCUACCUAGCAUAGUUUAACACAGCUUCACUUCCCUUGUGUAUGCUUGGGGCCCUGUUGUUGAAUUCAUUCAUCCAUGUGUCUAAAUGUACUAGGAUGUCUCUCAUUCCUCUGUUCCCUUCAUUCUAUCCUUCAUCCUGAGGAUUGCUCCUCCUUUGUUUUGUAAAGUCUAUUCAUAUAAGGAUUUUGUAGAUUAUAAUCUCUUGACUUGAUGGAUAUUGAUUCUUCUGCACUCUAUACAAGGUCAGGUAGAAGGCAUGGGAGAAAUGGGUUGUGGUAUCUUAUUGCAGGGUAGUGUCCUAAACCCUCUCCCUGAAGUGAUGCCUCUGUCUUAUUUCCAGAGUUUCUUCUCACUGUGGUUCUCCCAUGGUCUUCUAGGAGAUAUGGGAGACAUAUAAUAUGCUUUGUAGAAAAUAACUUUUCCUCUACUUAUCCAGACAUCUCUGGCUACAACACAAUGCUCUGGUUGGUGUGAUUUGCUUUUUACAGUUCAAAUAAUUUUUUGAAUAAUUAUCUGCAGUACACUAUUUAGCACAUAUGUCAAUGUCAACUGCUAGAGUAUUGGAAACACAUACAUAACUGUGAAUAAAUGGAACAGUGCUUAAGUAUAAAAGAAAAGCGAGGUUGACAGAAAGAACAAUUCCACUUAAGCACCAAUGAGAGAAAUCAGAAACAGCUGUGUAGAGAUCACAGAAUUUGAAUUGAACCCUAAACAGUAACAACACUUGGAAAAUAAUCCUACAGCCCAGAUUAAACAACUAAUUGCAGAAUUUUCAUUUCAUGCUCACCCAAACCAACCCUUGGCACUGCACAGUAUUCUUAAAGUAUCUUCCAUAUUCUCAGGACACAGCCCCAAGUCAUAGAUUCCAUGGUCUGGUUCCUUUAGACUAGGUGUGUGCACAUGUCUGUUCAGAAGGAGAGAUAUGGCAACUGAGGUGGGACUAAUAGCCAACAGCCAAGGAAGAGCACACAUAAAGUCUUUUAUGUGACAAUGCUCAUGCUCUUUUUAAAAUUAUUUUUAGUCUUGUAAGAAUACACACACACACACUUCUAAUUACAAUGCAGCCCUGACACAUAUUCUUAAGUGUGUCCAUUCUGCUAUGUUGUGGAAAGCUGCAGGACCCCCAAGAUCUCUACCCACCCUGCUGUGAUCAUGGGUGGUAAGGGGCCGUGUCAAUGAAAGAAGCAUAAAGUAAACUUGUAAAGAGUAUCUUCAUGUGUUGCAGACAAAAUUGAGCAUGUUUAUUAUAACUGCUGAAGGCAGAAAUGGAUUCUUAUGUAGAGUGUUAUGACCUCACUGUGUAUUGUAUUUCACUUGGGUCUGGAAGCAGUGAUCUCAGUAUCAAGUCACCAAUUAUACAAGAAACAUAAAAGAAACAUCUGAAAUAUAGCCCACAAAUCAAAGAGAAUGGUAUUUUAACUUAUUAAGGAGUUAAUUGGUGACAUUGUUGAGAUAAGCAGUAUGAGUCAAAAAGAUGACUGAUUCUGGAAAUGGCACAGCACAGAUUUUGGCAUCAUGAUAAAUACGCCAUUCCUAUUUUAGAGACCAUAAAUAAAGUUCAUGUGCACUCUAGCAAAAAGUCAAUGAAAUGCGCUUAUCUCCCCACGAUGAGCUGAUGAUCUGGAGCUCCUUGUGUUCCAGAUUCUGUUUCCUUGCUUGGGUCUUCUCCUCGCCAUCUCUCCCAGUGAUUGUGAGCUCAAAUGUUAUACCUGUCAUUCAUUCACCUCUUAUUGUAUCACAUAUGUACAACACAUAUUACAAAUAUUUCAAGUUGUGUAUGCUGUUGACACAUUUAUAAAUGAAAAUAGUGACUUCAUCCUCAACCUUAUGUUAAGAUUUAAUCACAAUUAAGCUGAAGUUGUACAUAUUUAAUGUUAUAUAAUGGUUAUUCAUAAUGCCUCACAGUUAAUUUUAUACAUUCCAGUUACAAUGAACACACAUACAUAUAUUUCAGUGCUUACUCUUAGUGAUGCAAACACAUUCAAUGUGAAAUAAUUUAAAAUGCUAUUUCAAGUUUAAGUGAAUCUUAAAAUAGAUUUUUAAAAUAUAAAAACAGUUAUGACUCUCUCUAGAAUAGUAUUUUAUAAAAUGAUCAUGGUUUUAAUUUGAUCUAUACUAACUUUGAAAUGUGAUAGAGAUACAUUGAUUGAAAGAGAUCUAUUUUGGUAUGUUAUACUUCAUUCCAUUUCAUUUAAAUAAAAGUCAUGGUUAUGAUUCUCUGGGUUGAUUUAAUGAGCCACUAAUAAGCCAUUGCUGGCCAGCAGUCAUUUUAGCUCUCAUCUUUGUUGGACGUUGACACACUGAUUAUUAACACCUGUACUAAGUUGCUCUUCCAGUAGCAUGUAUGUCUAGUGAUGGAGCCAAAGGUCUUCAGAAUGUUAGACAAGCCCUUGCUCUAUACUGAGGUCCUUUCCAGAGUCUCUCAGGUGAUCUUUCUCUUCAUAGCUUUGCUCAAGUAUGAUGCUGCAUUAUCUUUUAAAUAAAUGAAUAUCUGAUGAAGGUAUGAGUGUAAAUUUAA